UAAUACGUAGGGUGCGAGCGUUAAUCGGAAUUACUGGGCGUAAAGCGUGCGCAGGUGGUCUCGUAAGCCAGACGUGAAAUCCCCGGGCUUAACCUGGGAAUGGCGUUUGGGACUGCGAGGCUAGAGUGCGGCAGAGGGGGGUGGAAUUCCACGUGUAGCAGUGAAAUGCGUAGAUAUGUGGAGGAACACCGAUGGCGAAGGCAGCCCCCUGGGCCAGCACUGACGCUCAUGCACGAAAGCGUGGGGAGCAAACAGGAUUAGAUACCCUGGUAGUCCACGCCCUAAACCAUGUCAACUAGUUGUUGGGGGAUUACCUCCCUUAGUAACGUAGCUAACGCGUGAAGUUGACCGCCUGGGGAGUACGGUCGCAAGAUUA
rnacentral:rRNA from 1 species